ACCUGAAAGGGUAUUACAGCUGCAUUCGGUAAAUAAAAAUGAAGUUCGGUAGGGAAUUCUCUCACAUAAGGAUAUUGAGGAGUAAGUAGUAGGAAAAAGCGGAUGAUAGCAUUGGAAGGGAUAAUAAAUUUUUGUGGGAAAUGAGGGGAAGAGGGAAACGAGCAACUGGGGAAAUUGAUAGGAAGAACGUUGAUGGUAUUGUUAAGUGAAUGAAUAGAAACUCAGAGACUCUCACAAAUCAUUUAAAAAAAUUUUCACUAGUCGAAAGUUUUUACGGUAUUAUUAUUUUCAUCUUUUCAAAGCAUUAUCCCAGUCUUACCACGAGAUGUUCCUACAUAAUAUGCUGCGCUUUUCAUAAAAGCACAUAUCCUGCAAAUAUCUCUUCCAUUUAAGAUUAUUUCGUUUAUGCCUUACCCAUGGAUCUACGAUUGAUAUCGAAGUUUGAUUGAAUUAUGAUUUCUUUGAUACAAUCACGAGUUAUGUAAAUGAUAUCUGUUGUGUUCUCGUUUUAGUAUAUUGGGUUUAACCUUUUCAAAUUUGUUGCUAAAUUUAUAUGGCACAGAUCAGAGGUCGAACCCUUUUAUUAUUGAACUACUUCUUCUUCGGCAGCUCUCUAGUUGAGUAGCUGGCAGUUAUGCUUACCAUAAUUGAUUAGACAUAUCAAUGAACUUAAGCAUGUAGCGGUGCUCGACCGUUCAGACUAAAAUAACAAGGUAGGGUCAUUGGAGAAAAAAUCAUAAAGAAAGACAUUUCGAUAUUUUGCAACGUCGGGAAGCAAAUUGGCUGGGGUAAUAACAACGACCGUUCUCAUUAGUUUGAACUUAUUAAAAAGGGGAAAUAGUCAUUGAAGCACUUAGUUUUUGUUUUGAAUGCUAAAAUGGUAUAAUACGUCUGUCUUACUAAAUAUAGCUACCAGUCUAUUUAUAUCAAACUUAUAAAAGCUAACAAACUAAGAUCUUCGCAUUUCAAGCAGAAAAUCAUUGAUUUGUAAUAUAUAUUAAUAGUAUUUUUGUCAAUUUGAGUAUUGUUUACUAUUUAAACUUUUCUUGAAGCAAUUUGAAGAUCCU